CCUACGGGGGGCAGCAGUGGGGAAUCUUAGACAAUGGGCGCAAGCCUGAUCUAGCCAUGCCGCGUGAUCGAUGAAGGCCUUAGGGUUGUAAAGAUCUUUCAGGUGGGAAGAUAAUGACUGUACCACCAGAAGAAGCCCCGGCUAACUCCGUGCCAGCAGCCGCGGUAAUACGGAGGGGGCUAGCGUUGUUCGGAAUUACUGGGCGUAAAGCGCACGUAGGCGGAUCAGAAAGUCAGAGGUGAAAUCCCAGGGCUCAACCUUGGAACUGCCUUUGA
rnacentral:rRNA from 1 species